rnacentral:tRNA from 1 species
GGAGAGGUGUCCGAGUGGUUGAAGGAGCCGGUCUCGAAAACCGGUGUCGGUGUAAGCCGACCCAGGGUUCGAAUCCCUGCCUCUCCGCCA